CUGACACGCUAGGUAACGGCUCAAAUAAUGCAUGAAACAAAUUCUGAGCGAUCUCAGCCCAGCCCAUUAAAAUACGGAUGUAUAUAAUAAGACACAGUCCCAUAGGCGCUAGAAAACUUUCAACAGGUCCUCAACUUUGACAAAGUCUUUGACAAGAAUGAGGUGUUUGACCAUCUGCCUCGUCCUGUCUUUGGUCGUCAUUAUGGCCGAACCUGGAGAGUGUUUCUUUGGAUCUUUAUGGAGAGGGGUAAAAUCAAUUGUCCAUGGAUAUCGAGCAUACAGAGAGCACCGCAAUCGUCAGAAAAUGGAGCGGUAAGUUCCUUUUUAAUAAUUUAUUAAAUAACUGAGAUAUAGCAC